CGUGAAUGAUAUAAGUAUUUUAACAACCCUCUAUAGGUAUGGCUACAUAAAACAAGGUAACGAGAUUAUCUUUAUUCUUUUACUAGAGGGGCAGACGUGCAUGAUAUAUAUGUAGUCUUUCAAGGAACAUUCUGGCUUUGAAGUUAUCUCCUAUUCUUAGCUAGGCAGCCCAAAUCUCUAGGCAUAUGCACAUCACAUCAUGGGGAUCAUUGUAUUUUGCUUCAGCAAAUCCAAUUUUUUUAACGUAAAACACCAAACUCAGUGAUAAAACUAAACUAAAAAUAAAAGGAAUAAAAUUUAAACAAUCUGAAUGAGAUGAGAUUAGCAGGGGAUUUGAGAAGUGAACCACUCGCCCAACUCCAGAGCCAACUCCACGACCACCGUCACGCACAAACAGCACGGGCAUAUGCAAGUCAGCAACAAUCCGACGAUCCAGAUAACGAUGCCGACGAUGGAGAGGACGAGGGAGAGGAGAGCAAAAGGAAGGCCGAGCAGAAAGCCCAGAGGCCUGCAAUCACCUUCUGAAGAGCACAUUUUCUCUCACUCUCUUUCUUCUUCUUCUUUUUCUGGGAUUUUGGUUCUUCAGCAGCAACUGCUUGAGAGAGAAGAGAAUGGAGAGAGACUUGUUUAGUAAUGGGAGACGGCACACGCUGUGUGUUGUAUUGUUGGAAAUUUCUUGUGCUUUUCUGGAAAUAGUUAUAGUUACUUGGACUAGGGAUACCAGUCCAUGACUUUGACUCUAUUAAGACAAUUUCAUUGUCUGGGAUAAAUAUUGGGCUUCUUAGAUGGAGUUCCUAUUUUGUUUAGAUAUAAUGGAUACAGGAUAUCAAUAUUGGUAUAAACAAAGAGUUUGUCCUUUUUUUAAAACUUAAUUACUUCCAAUGCCAUUAAAUAGAAAAGAUAAAUAGAUCGACACAUCCCAACUUUCAUGAUUAGUUCCUACAAUCAUGCUCAUUCCGUCCAAAGCGUUUCAGAUUUCGUCCUAAUCGUUGCAAAUUUCUUGCUACAGUAAUGGAGAUUUUUUUGGGUAUGAAAAUUUUAGGAACCUGAUUGUCAAAAGUAAGAAAUCAAUUGUUGACAAAAUAGGGAUUGGGUCUUCUGACAUUGGGUUGUUGGAGUGCAAUUCCUCACAUAGGGUUGAAUAGAUUCCCUUUCAAUGUAAACGCUUUAGUGGUUGGACGCAGUCAGGGGUGCUUCUGACUUAAUUGAGAAAGAACCUUCCUUUCAUAUUUGAACCUUCUUCUUUGGAAAAAAAAAAACCCAUGAAUUUGAAUGUAGAUCUUAAAUUAAACGAAACAAAAUAUUUUAUAAUCCCUAAAUAAUAAAAAAUUAUUUGGAAAUGUUUUUUUUAUGGAAAUUAUUUGUUUUCCUUAAACACCUACCUGUUGUGUAGGUAGCAUUAGCAAACUAUGCCUAUAACACAGGUUUUUUCCUCAGAAAAGUACAUAGAUUCUACAUCUGUUAUUUAAUUAUACUUGGCGAACAGGUAGACGACAAAAAAUACCUAGGUAGAAACAUAUGAGAUGAAGUUUUCUUCAACGCUAAGAAUGUGAUACCUGUAUCAAAGGUAACUAAUUCAUAUUGUACAUUUACCAUAAGAUGGCAGUCAAUGUAAACAAAGAUACAACGAAUAGCUGAAAGGACCCGCUCCGAAUUUUUCCGAAACCCGAGGCGAACCUUUUGAAAUUCCCGACAUCACCCCGAUGCCAGGUCCACUUACCAAAUACCGAGACUUCCUACCGAAAUUUCGGCAGAGUCUCCCCUAAAAAUUGGAUAUUCCCAAAAUUUAUACCUGCAUGAAAACGCAUUGAAUAUUCCCAACUGGCAGCAUGCACAAUAUAAUUCAUGCAAUUCACACAAAUGGCCUUCGACCUUCCAAUAAUUCUUAACCAACUACCAAACAUGCUAACAAAAUAAUUCGUGCCUUAAACAAGGCAAACAAUUCAAAUCUAAAUUAUGACUAACCUUUAGUCUGCGGCUGUACAUAAUAACCUUAGGCUGCCUACGUACCCUCCUUGAGGGAUCAAGCCACACGUAGAUCUUCCAUAAAACCCACUUCUACACAUCGGCGAUACCUUAUUUCAUUUCUCUGUAUUUCACAUAUUCUCCCCAUACGCCGGUACAACCAACGCCACGUAUGGGGCCUGUCAACACGCCAGAUAACCUACGCCACGUGCGACCAUGCCAUACUAUCAUAAUAUCUCCCCAUACGCCGGUACAACCAACGCCACGUAUGGGGCCUGUCCCAACGCCGGAUAACCUACGCCACGUGAGACCUGAACAUCAUAUUACAUAGCUCCCCAUACGCCGGUACAACCAACGCCACGUAUGGGGUCUGUCGACACGCCGGAUAACCUACGCCACGUGCGACCUCAACACAAUAUCACAUAAUCUCCCCAUACACCGGUACAACCAACGCCACGUAUGGGGCCUGUCUCAACGUUGGAUAACCUACGCCACGCGGGACCUCAAUAUCAUAUCACAAAUCUCCCCAUACGCCGGUACAACCAACGCCACGUAUGGGGUCUGUCGACACGCCGGAUAACCUACGCCACGUGCGACCUCAACACAAUAUCACAUAAUCUCCCCAUACGCCGGUACAACCAACGCCACGUAUGGGGCCUGUCUCAACGCCGGAUAACCUACGCCACGUGAGACCUGAACAUCAUAUUACAUAGCUCCCCAUACGCCGGUACAACCAACGCCACGUAUGGGGCCUGUCCCAACGCCGGAUAACCUACGCCACGCGGGACCUAACUUUCACUUGGUGGUACUUGUAGUGAAUCCAACAUCCGAGGAGGUACCUAAAGUAGUGCGUAUAGCACUCCAAACUGACACUCUAGACUCUGUUGUACCCUUAUACAACCAUAUAUAAUUAUAGUUAUAUAAAUUAAUUCUAAUAUUGUGUAACCCUCCACAAUCAUCUAGCACCCGAUAAUCCCCCCUAGAAAGGUGAGAUUACUCCUGGAGACUCAUGGUCAACCAAGGGUCAAACUACUCUAACCCUGGUCAACCGGACCUGCACAACCCACGACCUCCAAUUUCUGAUCCAGAAGUCCCUAUGGGUUCUACCAGGUAUAGGACACUUGUCCUGCGAGUUUGGUUCAGAUCGGACGGUCGGAUUGUUCACAAUCGCACGAUCUGACAAUUAAUAUAAAAUAUAAACUUUAAAUCAUUAUUCGGAACAUCCGGGCCUCCGAUUCACGAUCCGUGAAUUCCUACACGAUCCUAGAAAUACCUAGAUUAACAUAUAUUAAAUUUGGGAUCAUCCAACGGUCCCAACCUAUCGAACCCGGAUAACGCACACUAUGCGAUUAUCCGUUCGAUAGUCAAACGACGUCCGAAUUGAGAUCCGCGAAAUCCUACGCACUCGUGACAACCUAAGGAUCUCAUCGGAACACAUCGCUACUUUUUCUAUAGUGCCCACGCGCCGCCGCAAGCGCUGGUAGCGCAUGGGUACCCAAAGCAAUAACGCUUCACCGGAAAAUCUCAAAACCAUGGCUACAAACUCCUACCCUAGGUAUAACACCCUAUUUGGAGCCACUUUUGUUCUUGGACCUACCCCAAAAAGUGGCCGGAAAUAGCCGAUCACGGCGGCCGAAGUUCGGCCGAUUUUCAAUUCGAAAAUCGAAUUGUCUACGCUAAAAAUCGAUCUAAUCCUACCCAACCAUCAGCUAAAGCAUGAAAAAUAGGUGAGAAACCAUACCUUGCUCGUCGGAUUUGGUGGCUGGAGGAGGGAGAUCGAGCUCCUUGAAUUUUGGGUUAAAACCGGUCGGAUUUUUGCAUUUUCCGGCGAGCACAGGUGGUUCCAGUGGCUGAGAUUGGUCGGGAUGGAAAGAGGAAGAUGGCACGGUUCUUUUGGGACUGGUGCCACCCCGAGCGGUGGCCGGGUGCGGCGGCGGCAGCCCAAAAACCGCCGCUGUGAACAGCAACAGGGGGGGCUGUUCUGCGCGCAGGGAGAGAGAGAGAGAGAGAGAGAGAGAGAGAGAGAGAAUCUGAUUUUAUAAAAAAAAUUCCAUUUCGAAAUAUUUACGAUUGUGCCACUGGGCUUCUUUUGACCAUAUCUCUCUCGUUACAACUCCGAUUCAAGCCCACUACGUGUCUAUGAACUCGUCUCAGUACGACCUAUCCAAAAAUACAAGUCACGGUCCCAAACUCUCUCCGGUUAAAAAUAUGACUAAAAUACCCUUAAAUAAUUAAAUAAUUAAAUAAGGGUAAAAUUCGGGGUCGGGGUGUUACAAUAGCUGUGUAAUAGGUAGCUUAUAUCACACAUUUCAUAAGCUUAAUUAUACCUAUAAAUGUUAACCAGAACCGAUACUAAAUGACAACAUGUAUUACUUGGGAUAUAUUUUUGAGAUAUUUUCCUUUCUAUUUAAUGACAAAUGUGGUAAAUGGCUUCAGAUUAUCACGUGAAUUAUUAUUACUCAAUUCAAGGCAUAGGGGCAACAUUGAAAUAAAAUAUAAGGGUGAAAAAAUGUAAGAUCUCACAUCAACCAACGGAGAGGGAGUGAUGUGUCUUAUAUGUGCAUGCCCACCUCCAUCUAGCACGAUGCCUUUUGGGAGCUCACUGACUUCGGAGUCAUGGGAACUCUGAAGUUAAGCGAGUUGGAGCUAGAGCAAUCUCAGAAUGGGUGACUCACUGGGAAGUUGCUCGUGAGCUCCCAGAAACAAAAUCGUGAGGGCAGAGAGGGGGGCCCAAAGCGAACAAUAUCGUACUACAGCGGAGUCGAUCCCUGGAUGUGACAAUUUGGUUCAAAGCCACUUCGCCGUGCGGUGCGAGUGUGCCGACGAGAACGUCGGGCCCCUAAAGGGGGUUGAUUGUAAGAUCCCACAUCGACUAACGAAGAGGGGGUGAUGUGCCUUAUAUGUGCAUGCUUACCUUCAUUUAACACGAGGCCUUUUGGGAGCUCACUGGCUUCAGAGUCAUGAGAACUCCGAAGUUAAGCGAGUUGGUGCUAGAGCAAUCCCAAGAUGGGUGACCCACUGGGAAGUUGCUCGUGAGCUCUUAGAAACAAAACCGUGAGGGCAGAAAAGAGGGCCCAAAGCGGACAAUAUCGUGCUACGGCGGAGCCAAUGUCGAAAUGUGACAAAAAAUUAAAAUUAAAAUAUUAUAUCAGAAAAUAUUUAAAUGAAGUAGAACGAUGUAAAUAAAAUGCAACAUUACUAUUUGUCAAAUUGUCACUAGAAGUAGAAAAGAACAAUCUCUACAGGAGCAAUAUGCAAAAACUUUCCAUACAUGCACCCAUCAGGGAACAAAGCAUACACAACAAGGAUACAACAAAAACAGCAAAACCAAUACAAACAAAGGCCAAGAUGGGGUAGAGCAGUACCCAUCUAUUUAUCUAACGUAGUUGGGCACUCUCUAACGAGCAAACUGGACAAAGCCAGAGUAAAUUGCAAGAAUAACUAACCAUAAUUCAUUGAAAAAUAGGUUAGCUGUAAUAUUCUUGAAGAUCUGGGUAUGUAUGUGGCUACCAAAAAAGCGGUUUGAGCAGUGCAAUUCUGUACUCUGUCUCCUCCCGCCAGAAAUACAUGACAUCGCCAGCAGCAAUGCCUCUCUCCUUCACAAAUACUUUCCAGUGUUUUGCCUGGAAAACUGGUUUUUUAUCCCUGCCUUGUCUACCAGAUAAAUAGAACACAUGGACCUACCCGUUUCGUCUAAGACUCUGAUUGGGACAUCAUGCGCUGGAUCUAUUUGGGGCAGGAAUUCAAGCAUUCCCCUUGUCACUGCUAAUCUUUGAUUGAUGUCAGAUAGCGUCAACUUUUUUUCAAAUCGAUUCAUUUUUUUCUGGGGCCUCUACAAAGUUUGAGCACAAAACUAAAGCUGUCGAGCUCCGUACGGACGUAGCUAGCUGCUUAUGUUGAGAUGAGUUGAUAAUAUUGGUGAGAUGCAGCAUAUAUAGAGAGACAUCACUAUUCAUUUUGUGGGAGCUGAGUCCGGGGCGGAGCUAGAAUUGUAAAAUUAAGGGGGUCGAAGUAGAAAAUACGAGUAGAUAAUAAAAUACUUAAGUAUUCAAUCAAAGAAGAAAAGAAAAAAAGUUUCCUUUGAGACCUGAGUUGUUUAGACUAAGAAAGUGAAGAGAGAGAAGAUGAGAUUUUCUUAAUUUGUUUGGUUCAAUUUUCUUUAAUGUUGUUAAAUUGAAAUGUGACCAUUUUCAGUUGGCCGGUUUUGCAGAGGGGAAAAAAUGUACACUUUCUUCUUUAAUUUUUUUCUUCUUCUUUUUGUGAAACUCUAGCAUAGAUGGGAUAUGUGAGUUUUUUUCCUUAAGUCUUUAAAAGUGAUUUUACAAAUGGGUAAAUUAUUUUUAAAAUUUUAAAGAUAAGAUGGGUGUAGAAAUAGAAUAAGGGGUGGAAAUAGUAACACUCUCUUAUUAUUAUGAGAAAUGUAGCAUUAAUAAGAUCUUUAAAAUGAGCCUAAUAUGGAACAUAUAUUAUUUACUAGUUAAUUAUGUAGCAACAUCAAAAUAAUUAUAAUUAAUCAUGUAAUGAUUGGAAGCUUCUUUUACACACAUGCAUGCAAUCACGUGUUUUUCUUAUAAUGAAUACCUUUUAAAAAUAAAAUAAAAUUCUUAUUAAAAAAAUACGAUCGCUGCAUGACGAGGGGUCACACUAGCACUAAAUUAUACUACAAUAAUGGGACCGCGCAUAUCUGAUUCCAAAGCACGCAAACCGUAAUUAAAGAUAAACCUAAGGUACACAAACAUUCAAAAAUUUGUAAUAACUUUGUUAACUAUCUAAAGAAAUGAUAUUUUUUUAAAAAAAAUUACAUUGAAAACAAUACAUGCUGAAAUAAACCAAGCUAUUUAGUACAGUAAAACUUGUAAUUCUAACUUUGCAACUAGCACUUGUCUUUGUAGUUUAAGCCUCUAUGUCAAUCUGUCAAGAGGUAAGACAUGAAUUUAAAGAGUUAAGACAUACAACAAAUGUCUUGUCCAACACCAAUGAAGUCUGAAGUCUCAUAUCAUUCACAUUCAUUACCAAAUACAAGUGCCCACUUCUUCUUAAUUAGGUUAUGAUUGAAUUCAGACUCGUAGAGAUCAACUGGUUAAUUUACAAUUUCCAAUAUUCCAUAGUGAUUCUAUUUGGUUGAACCCCAAGUGGGACUUUAGAAUAUAGAUCCAAACAUUGAUAUCUCAAUCUCAAUAAAAGUUGCCUUGAAGGAAAUAAGAGAGAGAGAGAGAGAGAGAGAGAGAGAGAGAGAGAGAGAGAGAGAGAGUUGAGCCUUGAAGGCAAUAAAGCAAAGGCUGACUGACCCCAGGCAAUAAAGCAUACAAGGUAGUCCUCACUACUUGGGCUUAGGUUUUGACUUCAGCGCAGAGCUUAGGUUUUUUCUCACUACUUGGGCUAAUGAUCCCAAAGGAUUUACGCUCAAAAGCUUAGGUUUUGUUAUUUAGGAGUAUUUGCUAAUUAGCAGGAUGUUUAUGCUUUGAAGGCCAAUAGAAAUAAAAGUAGAAAUAGGGGACAUAGCAGAAUGAAAAAGACAUUUGAUCAAUUAAAAAUAAUAUAUAGGGAACAUCAGCUCACAAAUCCAUUGACUUUGGUUGUCAUUUGAUCGUAUUUCAAACUCAGGUUUAAAAGCAAAAUAGAAAGGUCCCUAUUUUAAACAUUACUUUAACAGGGCAUGCAAAAAGGCAUAAUUAAUUAUUAAUAUUCUUUGGUGAAUCUGAAUACAAAUUUCGCAAUUUAUGCUUUGUUUAAUUAUUAUGUUUUAUUUAAAUACACGCCAUUAAUGGAAAAGCGUAUUCAAUUAACAUACAGAAUCAUUAGUUGCAUGGGAAUAUAAAAAUAAAAUAAAAAGUUAUUUACACUAACACCUCCUUGAGGUUUUUUGUGUUUUCACAUCAUCCUUAAUGUUCUAGAAAUUACACAAACACCCCCAUUAGAUUUCAAAAUGAUUUCACAUAACUUCAAAAUCCAAAUUUUAAAUAUUAAAAAAAAAAACCCUAAAUUUAGAUGUAACACUACUUAUGGAUAGAUCUGGCAAAAUCCCACACGACAUGAUAACACGAUACGAAUUCGCACGAAAAAUUCAAUAUUCAGAUUGGAGUUAUCGCGUCGUGUUGCUAUUGUGUUGACCCAUUAAGCUAACGGGUCGUUUUGGUGUCCAUACACGAACCAACCUGUUAAGUGGAGAUAAUUUUGUAAUUUUCAAUUCUAAAAAAAAAAUACCUUAUAACCCUAGCAUCUCUUCAUUCCGCAGCUUUUUUUCUUUCUCUGCAGUUUUCUUUCUCUAUCUCCCAAGACCUCAUCUUCUCCUUCUUCUUGCUUUGCUCUGCUCUCUCUGUCUUUGAAGAUCUUCCCUGCUGCCAAAUCCUCUCUCAAGGUAUGAAUGUUUUUAUUAAUUUUUUUGGUAAAUUUAUUUGACUUUCAGUUUGGAAUUGAUAUAUUUAUGUGGACUUUGAGAUCAAACAAAUCGUUUCUGGACUGGUUGUAAACAAACACAUGUACUUGGAUAGGAUCUGGAUGCAGGAGCACACCCAGUGUCUUUGGGAAGAUGCCCUUCGAUGGUUGAACAGUUUUGUAAUGGAGACUAACAAAGAAAGGCCUUUUUGGGUGAAUAGCAAAGAAAACAAUUAUUUUUUGACAUGUGAAGGAAAUUAGCAUAAACUAAAGUCAGGUGUAUUGAGGAUUCUCAGAAAAGCAUUCUUAAACAUGUGAACGAAAUUAGCAUGUGAACCCUUAAACAAUUAUUUGUUCAAAAACAUUCUCUGGGCAUUCAAGAAUAUUAGCUUUUGUUGGAAUGAUUUUGAUUUUUGGGACAUGUAUUUUCUGGGCAUGUAUUGUUUGCAUUUAACAUUUGUUCAAAAAUAUAGGUUUUUUAAAUUUUUAUUAAAAAAAGUUUAUUUUUUUAACAGGUGAAACGGGUCGUGUUAUGUGAUUCGCGAAUUGAAGCGGGUCGUGUUCGUGCUUGAUAUUUUCACGAAUGCCAGGUCUACUUAUAGAUAUACUAUAUUACAAAUAAAAAUAAAACGGCUCUUCGAUAUCUUCCAUUUUUUCGGAUGGAUAUCAUGAACUCGUAUGUCUUGAGUUUUUGGUUGUCAAAAACUCUGAUCGGGGUAUCGCGAUUAGGAUCCACCGGUGGCAGUAUUUCAAGCAUGGCGGUGGUCACCACAAGUCUUUCCAGAUCGCUUGCCUUCAACACUUUCUCAAACCUACCAUUCUCCAUAUCUACUAUCUGUGUGUGUGUGUGUGUGUAUCCAUCUGCUUCAUAAUCUCCCUAUAAAUAGGCCAGGAACUGCACUUUGCUCUUUGUUGCCACCCAAAUCAAAGUGAUGAUUUACAAAUCUCUGUCCAAGUCACUGGUGUCUUUUAUAAUCCAAAGUGGGCUGCAUCAGGUUUUCGCACUUGGUUUUAAUCUUAUAGUAAAUUUGGCUUUUCCCCUUCAAACUAAUAUUUUCUUACCUACAAACCACAAUCCAUCGUUUUAUUUUUCUAUAAAUAAAACCUGAUGGUUGUCCUCGCUGCAAUUCGAGCUCAGAGUUUUUCAAAUUGGUGAUGAAGUCUUAUUCUCACUUGAAUUUCAUUGAUAAGGCUAUGAACAUUGUUAAUUUAGCCAAAGUUGAUGGAUUUAUGCCUGGUGUGCUUCAUAUAAUGCAAUUUUUUAUGCACUAUUUAGCAUCAAUUGUCUGCUACUGAAGAGGCACAAAAAGCAAACAAGGACCUGAAGAAGCAUUAGGUUCUAUAUCUUCCUUGUAGUGAAACUGCACAUAAUUUUUCUCUGCCCUACCACGUUCACUUGCCAGUGUUUUCAGAAUCUGGCAUCUCGUGUUGCCUUAAUGUAUCUUGAGAAGCCAAGGAUGUGGAUUUUGUUAGAAUAGCAAUAUUGAGCAGAAUUUUAACAGAGAGAAGCAGAGAAUUUUAGGAGAAGAAUUGAUGUAUUCAUUCAUUGAUCUCUCAACACAGUACAAUGAUGAUUUUUUAUCCUAGCUUUGUUAAAGCUUUGUGUACACGUUUUCUAACCUCUUAACCUCUCUAACUUCUUUAACAAAACGCUAAAGCUGCGUCUGGUUUUGCAGGUUCUCAAUUUGCCGUCCGUGAAUAACUUGUGCAGUUCUAAGUAGUUUUGAUGAUUUGAAAACCCUAAGCUAGCUACCCCUCCUCCAGGUCAAAUUUCACUCUUCUGUUUGGUAGCUAGUGUGUUGCUAUAAGCUGGUUAAGUUUCUGGAUAUGAUUAGUGAUAAUUAAGAAGCAUACAUACAUACAUACAUACUUUUGGCUAAUUAAGUUUCUGAAGAUGGAGAAGAGAUAGAGGAGCAUUUCAAGCAUGGCGGUGGUCACCACAAGUCUGUCAACAUCGCUGGCGUUCAACACUUUCUUAAAACGGCGCCAUCUCGAUCUCUCUUUCUCACUCCUCUCUCUCAACCUGCUGAGCAGGUUUUCAAGUUAUCUCAUUCAAUGAUGUAGAUCUGUCCUUAUUAUUUUGUCUAAAUAUAACUGUCAAUAUCUAUUGGCGCAGGUCCACUGUAGGAUUUUUCUUGAUCCCAUAUUAAACUCAGGUUUAAAAGCAAAAUAGAAAAGUUCCUAUUGCAAACAUUACUUUAACAGGGCAUGCAAAAAGUUAAAAUUCUUUGUCAUCAAUAAUAAUUAAUAUAUUUUUUAAAAAAACUUUGUUCAAUUUCUCCUAAAGAGCAGCAAUGUUUGCCAGAUACCCCUCCUCCAAGUUUCUGACUGGGAUUGGCAGGAACAUGGUGGUGGCGUUCAACACUUUCUCAAAACGGCCAUUCUCCAUCUCUCUCUCUCUCUCUUUCUGUUUUCCAAAGUCCAGUCUUAAACUUACUAAAGAUCACUUCCUUAAUCAUGCGUUUUGUCAGUGAAGCAGGCAGAGGAUAUAUUUUGCUGUGGUUUUUUUUUUUUGUGAUCCGAUCCUUUGCUGGUUCUGCUUUGUAUUGUACUGCUUAAUUGUGUGUAUAUUAUCACCUAAUUGCCAAUAAAGCAAUAAAAGGCCGACAAGGUAGUCCUCUGGAUAUGUAAACAAACCAUAUGCAUGCACAACAAACGAGAUAGACAAGCCUAAAAGAAAAGCCAACAUCAAACGCGUUUUGGAUACAUCGCAGGGCUUUGACUGGCACACACACACACGGUAGACAAGCAAGCUUAGGUCAGACAAGCAAGCUUAGGUCAGACAAGCCUACUUGGGCUUUGACUGGCAAUCCUUGAUUCUGUACAUGUAAUGUAAGUAUUCCAUUUGUUGUGUGGUGUGAUCCGAUCCUUCGCUGGUUCUGCUUGGUAUUGCACUGCUUAAUUGGUGCGUGUGUGAUCAGAGAAAGAGAGUUACUGUACGUACUAUCUCACAGCUUAUUCUCCUACUGGGUUUUGCUUUGCCUCCUUUAGAUUUUGAUGUGAUGAUAUAUCUCUUAAUGUGUACGUCGUUAGAAUAUAUAUUUGCCUUGCCUCCUCCUUGUAAUGAAUUUGUCGCAAUGCAAAUUGCAAUGCAUUUGUUUUGUCCUAAUGUAAUGAACCGAAAAAACCCUAAAAUUGGAUGCAACAAUACUUAUAUGGAUAUACUAAAAUACCCUUCAUGAUAUUACAAUACUGUUUGGAUACAGUUGCAUUUUAAUUUCUACCCAUUAUUAUAAUAAAAAUAAAAUACCUACUCAUGUGGUUUCCUCCAUGGCCUCCAUCUCUCCUCCAUCUCCUACACUCCUAUACUCCAUCUCUUCCAUCUCUUCCAUGGUGCAAGGAGACUCUGCGAGCUGAGAAUUUUCUUUUCAAAGCUGCAAAAGAUUUUAGAACAUGGAGAAGAGAUGGAGGAGACAAAGUUUUUUUUUUUCCUUGGUGAAAGAGUAAGAUGCGUUUGAUGAAUUACUUUUGCAGGUUCUCAAGUUGCCCUCCGUGAAUAACUUACGUAGUUCUAAGUAGUUCUGAUUUGAAAACCCUAGCUAACUACCCCUCUUCCAGGUCAAAUUUCACUCUUCUGUUUGGUAGCUAGUGCGUUGCGAUAAGCUAAUUAAUUUUCUGGAUAUGAUUAGUGAUAAUUAACAAGAAUACAUACAUACAUACAGACAUACUUUGGCUAAUUAAGUUUCUGAAGAUGGAGAAGAGAUGGAGGAGACAAAGAAAAUAAAAAGAGAUGGACAACAUUAAUCUCGUUACAAGUUACAAGAUUAACUGAUUACAACACUUGAUCGGAAUUAAUUAUUAGUGACUGUGACAGGGAAAAGACCUGCCUUGUAGAGCGCAAUUCGAUAUUGCGUUCGGUGAGCAGGCUCUUCCUCUGCCCAGAAAUAGAGCACAUCCCCAGCUGCAAUGCCUCUAUCACGGACAAACACUCUCCAUUCUCUGGAUUGCAAAACUGCUUUUUGGUAUCUUCCAUUUUUUCGGAUGGAUAUCAUGAACUCGUAUGUCUUGAGUUUUUGGUUGUCAAAAACUCUGAUCGGGGUAUCGCGAUUAGGAUCCACCGGAGGCAGUAUUUCAAGCAUGGCGGUGGUCACCACAAGUCUUUCCAGAUCGCUGGCGUUCAACACUUUCUCAAACCUACCACUCUCCAUAUCUACUAUCUGUGUGUGUGUGUGUGUGUCUAUCUGCUUCAUAAUCUGCCUAUAAAUAGGCCAGGAACUGCACUUCGCACUUUGUUGCCACCCAAAUCCAAGUGAUGAUUUGCGAUUCUCUGUCUGAGUCACUGGUGUCUUUUAUAAUCCAAAGUGGGGUGGGGUCUUUGUUUAUAAAAUUCAUCUAAAGUUCACUUCCUUUUAACAGGCGUUUUAUUGUCUUUUUGUUUUUUUUUUCAUUUUAACUAUUACUAAUUAUUUUGAUAAUGGUUUACCAUUCUCGUUAAACAUCUUGACAAUGAUAUUAUGGCUAGUUUGUUAAGCAAUUACUAGUUCGUCAGUAAGUUGUAUUCUAUAAAUUGAGCUACACUGUUCAUUUGCACAAUUAUCAGAGAUUAACAGAGAUAAGAAAUUUCCAGAGGUUUCUCAGAUUCUUUUAUUUCUUCUUCUUCUCCCACUUGGUUCUUUGUUCAUGAGGUUUCUCAUAUAUAUACCAUUUACUAGUGAAUUAUGCGGCAUUAAUAAUAAUAUGCACUGCACACCAAAGUAAAUAUAAUUAAGUUCUGAAUUUUAUUUUUUUGGUCGAUAUAUUUAAGUUCUGAUUAGCAGAUACUUAUGAUGAUUUGGGGCGGCGCCACUAAGCGACUAUAGUCAUUUUUAAAGAACUUUGUUCAGUUUCUCCUAAAAAGCAUAAAUGUUUGUUGGUAAGUUGGUAACAACAUGCUUCUUUAAUUGGCUUUGCAAAACAAGAACAAAACCAGAGAGACGAAGAAAAUAUUCAAAAGAAGAAGUUUCAUUAAUUGGCGAGCAAGCUUUCAGGUCAAAUUCUUGUCAUGAAAAUGGAACUCCCAUGAAGGCAAGUAUCUGCAUCCAUAUCCUUGUUUUCCGCUAAGUUUGACAUAUAACUUUUUUGGUUCUGCAAUUUAUGGGACGCUAUCUGUUACUGUGAUGAACCUUUUAGCGAAUGUGUCUGUGUGCAGUACUCUACACUAAUUAUCCAUCUGUGUACCCAACAACUACCAUUUUUUGUGUUGAACUAAAACAAAAUUUAGCUUGUAGGAUACAUUAAUGACAUUAUUUUUAGUGUAAGGAAAGUGACACAUGUAAUAAAAAAAAUGAGAAAGUUAGAAAGAAAGUUCCGAGCAUUUCCCUAAUAACUAACAAAUAUAUACGAGCCAUAUAUGUUAUUGUUUCUUCCCAUUUAUUAAAUCUUCUUCUUCAUAGCCUAUUUAUUCAUAAUUGCUGCAUCGAUGAGGCUUUUAUUUAUUUAUUUUUCUUUUUGAAUUUUUUGAUUUGUGAGGGGAGAUGGGAGGUCAAAUUGCUAUGCUUUUAACAUUGGAAAUGUAGCCGCAAAAAUUGUAUCUAAAUCAUCUAGGUCUUAGACCACCUCGAUUUAGUGGCCUCGAUUGCGCUUAUGAACAUAAAAUGAUUCCUACGGCAGCAAUCCCAAACAAGUUACUGAGAAUUUCUAAAUUUUAGGCAACUUGCUACUUCUUUGAGAUAAAAGAUACCAAGCCUUUCUGGUUUUGUGAGUAUUUUAUAAUUAAGUGAACUUUUAGUGGUAAAGAAAACCUAGGGUUAAAAGAAUUUCGUUCACAUUUCACAAAUUAAUCUAAACACAUCAUAAUUAGAAAUAAGUUGGUCAGGCUAUUAGUUAGUUUUUAACACGACUGAAAAAUGAUACGACAAGAAUAUGACUCAUUACCACGAAUUCCUAUCGUCGGUAACACCACAUUAUUACAAAUACAGUCAAAUUAUAAAAUGUAUUCAAUUUAGAGUUUUUAAAUCAGAAUUUAAGUAUUGUUUAUACACUAUCAUGAUUAAUUUGGAUGGAUCAUUCUCUGCUGUUGCCAUAACAGACAAAGUUUAUUCCAAGGAAUGAAGCUGAUUGCCCAAAAAGGAAGAAAGAAGGAUUUUAAAAAUGAAUAAAAGUGGAGGUCAUGUGCACGCACAAAAAAAACUAUACUUUCAUUUGAACCAUAAUUUUGGUUGGAACCCUUGAUGCAUGUCAUCAUGGAUAUAACUCCUUAUAUUGGGGUGACAUGGGACCCACUUGUCCUGUCAUUAGAAGUGAUGAAGUAGCUGGAAGAAGUGGCGGAUGUAGGAAUGUUACCUCAUAGGGUCAGUGGCAUAAGCCUUUCAAAACAUAUAUUAUUUUAAUAUAAAAAUAUUAUAAAUAAUACAAUAUAAUUCAAUUGGAAUACUAAUUCUUAUUUGACCAAAAAAAUUUGUCAUUCGAGCAUAAUAGUAAAUCUUAAAAUUAUUAAAUAUUCAAUUAUUCAUAAAAUAUUCAACAUCAAAGGAAGAACUCAAUUCAUUCACUAAAUUAGAUAGCUAACUAGGUCUGCAUGGUAAAUAAAACAAAAUAAAACAUUUUGCUGCUCAUAAAACGCAGCGUUUCCUUUAAAAUAAUGGUAUCAUUCCUUUUUUCUUUCUUUUUAAAGUCAGAUAGGGGUAGCGUGUCAAAAGACCAAUUCAACAGCACUGCCUCAAAAACGAUGCAUUCCACUCAAAUUAAGAAUAAGGAACUAGUAUAUCAAAGUGAAACUGAAACUUAGUCUCAUGCCUUCGCUUUUAGUGCGGAUUUCAUCACGAGUUGCAGAGGAAUACAAAAACAAAAUAUUUGAAAAUAAUAAUAUGAAACCCUAAACCCCAUUACCCCCAUCCCAUCACUCGCCAGCCAUCGCCACUUCUAUCUCUCACCGACCCAAACGGCCCUUCCCUAAACCACACCAUCAUAUCACACCCCUCUCUCUUACCCACAACCCAAAAUCCUACCCACCUUCAUUUCUUGGCACCCAAAGUUGUCUAAAUUCAAUAUAUUUGCACCCUUUCUUCUCCCAUUAUACAAUACUACUGUAGUAACCCUAAAUACAUCUUCCAUUCAAACAUAGCCACGUGUCAAUUUUUGUACAGCCAGCCCUCCCCUUCCGUCUCCUCCUCUGCCAUCUUCUCCCUCUAUUCUCUCUCCCCCUCUCCCUCCCCCUCUCCCUCCCCCUCUGUUCUCCCUCUCCUACUAGAGCAGGGCGGGCGGUCCUAUCUUAAAUACCUUGAAUUUUUCUGGUCACUACAAGUCCCCCAACAUCGGUGGCCGUGAUCGCUUUCUGCACACCGUGUGCAAGCUCCAUCAAUAUCAUCACUCCCUCUUUACAAAUGAAUUCAAUACCAAACUACAAAAUUUUCGCUUAGCUACUUAUCUUCUGAUGUUUCAUUGCUUUAGAGGAGCUCAGCUCACUCAGAUACUACUAUAUAAAGAGAAAUUUGAUAUCAGGGUGACCAGUUAGGGAAUGAUUUUGGAGUGGCCCUCUUCAAAGAUGUAAUACUUGUCAAAGAUGAAGGCCAGGGAACUGCCAGUGCCUGGCUUUAAGUGGCCUUUCCAUCUCUCUGUCGCGCCCUCUCUCGUGGGGUUUCUAUCUCUCUCUCUCUCUCUCUCUCUCUCUCUCUCUCUCUCUCUCUCUCUCUCUCUCUCUCUCUCUCUCUUUCUGAUUCUAACAUUUGCUUUUGCUUUUUGGGGUUUUCACCAUCAAAACCCUAGCCGCCGCUCCUAUCCUAAGGGAGUGGGAGGGAAGGUCAUUGCCUUUAUUGCAUCUAAAAUUGCAUUAUAUGACAGCACACUAGGCAUAAAUCCAUCAAAUUUUGGCUAAAUUAACAAAGUUCAUAGCCUUAUCAAUGAAGUUCAUGUGAGACUAAGACUUUACUCUUAUUUAAACAAAAGUUUUAUGUUCGAAUUCUCCUUCUUGACCAAUUUAAAAAGAAAAAUGCUUCAAUGAUCCAAGAUUGGAGUGGCUCUCUUAAAAAUUUAAUGUUUUUUUUUUUCGUUCAUGUGUAGUUAUUGUUUUUGAAGAUGAAGAUUUGAGUAUAAUUUUGUAAACCAAAAUAGCACCUUAAUUUUUAUUUUUUUCCAAUGAGUUUUACCAUGGACAAAUACAUGUUAAAAUCAAACAAACAAAGCAUGCAUCCAUUGCCCACAAAUAUGAACAAAAUGAAUGUAGUUACACAAAAUAAGUAAGAACAAGAGAUGAAAUUGUUUAUUUUAAAUUUCUAAUAUAUAAUUUAACAUAAUUAAUCUCAACAUAUUAAGAUUAGUGGAUGGAUUGCCCGAAAGCAAUAAAACAGCCUAUUUAAGGCUUUUAAUCGAACACUUAGUGGGCACAAGUAAAUGGGCAAAUUCAUGCAUCUCCAACGCAUUUUUUGGAGAGGCUGCACCUCCUCGCACCUAUGUGGGUCCGCAACUAAAGGCAAAUAUGUAUCAUAAGUCUGAGUACAUGUGUUUCUAGUUGCUAAAUCAGAGAUUUAGUCAUUGGUUGGGUUGUGCAUGAUUCUCUCAAGAUCAAUUCAAUAUGUUGUUAUGUUUGGUCACUAGAGAAGUUUUAUCCAUAUUAUUUUGCACAUAGUUGCUUUGUACUUUUGUUCGUUUAUCAAUAAUAUACUAUCACUCAUUUUCAAAAAAAAAAAAAACAUAGUGGGCUAUAUUUAAAAAUACAUAAUAAUAUAGUAAAUUGCUUUUCCCUUUUUUUCCCCCCCCCCCCCCCCCCCCCCCCCCAAUCUAUGUAGCCUAUAGUUGCCUUCUUUAUAGCUCUGCCAUAUGCAUUUCCUAAGUUUGAUGAUGCAUUUUAUUAUCAUUAAUUUAUAUUUUCUUGAUUAGUAUAUGUAUAUGUGUGCGUGAUUUCUUCUUAAUAUGUAUUGUUUGUUCAAAACUCAAAAUAUUUUCCAUCUUUCUUUUUUUUUGAAGACCUUUCCUAUUGAGAGGAACGAUAGCAUAUUAAACUCACACACACUAUACGGAUACUAGGAAUUAAAAGAAUGUUGCUUCACCAACUAGUUGCUUACCAGAUGAAUCAACUUUUUUAGUUUCUUCUUUCUACAAAUUUGCUUUUCCCCCCCUCUUUUUCUAAGAAAAAGGCAAAAUGACAUGUAGUCUAAGGACUGCUUUUUUGUUCCUUGGUCAAACUUAUGAUAGAGACAUUUUGUGAAUCCCACAAAUUUGAUAGAUAUCAAGCAUAUAUGUUCACUUUUAAAAGACCUUUUGCCCUUCAACCUUUCUAAUAGACUGUCUUGACUGUUUGAUAGGUAACCGAGAAACUCAUCGUGCAAGAAGUAAAUCAAAGCAAAAUAAACCAGGUAAUAAAAGUUUGGAUCACUACAUGAUUAGCCAAAACUACAAAGACUACUUGCUUACCUACUUGUUUUCGAUUUUUAUCGCUUCACUAAAAAAUUCCAUAUUGAUAGAGCUAAGCCCAUCACCAUCACUUUUAUUCUCAUUAAAACCUGUUGAGGCCCAAAAAAACCCAUGAUUAGGCCCAAAUAAGUUUCCGGCCAAUAUGAUACUGUAUUAAGAAAAGUUACAUAUCGGAGUACACGAAGGCUCGUCAUAUACAAGUCAUAGCCCACAUGCCAUGCUAAAUAAAUAAUUUGUCAUGAUAAGGACUAAGAUAAUAUUAUAAAAUACAAGCCCGUGCUAAACUAAGCAUCGUGUCCCUCUUCAAGGACGAUAAAAUUGAAGCACACCAAGCGACACGUCAUGCCAAGCAAAGAAUUAUUAUUCCGCACCCAAUCACGCCACAAGUUUAAGUGGGCUACAAGCCACUCAAAUAUCCGGGGCUUGCUUGAGUGGGUUGUGGCAUGGAUUGUAAUAAAUUGUCAUGAGGCCCAUUGAUGGGCCGAGAAAUGGAAGUCCCAGGUUGCUUAGAAGCCUCAGGACUCAAGCCCAUUUCAUAGGCUCAAACAUGUGGGAAGCACAAGAGAGAAAAGAAUAGUCCAUCACUCCAAACAAAAAUAGUCCAACCAAAAUAGUCUAUUGACUCAACCAAAAAGCCCAAACGUUUGAUAAAGAAAGCCCACUUACUUAAUGAAUCACCUUUGCCCAUACAAUUACCAUAAUGAGCUACAAAAGCCCCAACACUUGGCUGGAAAAACAAAAGCCAUAAAGGGGAAGUCUGAAGGUCCAUUAUACAAAGUUGCUGGGAGGUUCCAGCACACAUUUCAAAGAGCAAGCUUCCCCUCUCACCUGCAACACCUAGCAAAUUCGUGCUCUAUUCAUCCUCCUCCCCAUUUUUCCCUUCUAGCAGGCUGCUGUAGCAUUUGACAGAGUCACUGUCAAGUUGCCGGAAAUAAUACUCAAGCCACCCAUUCCUCUUUUUUUCCUUAUUAUCAGCUAAACCUCUCUGCAAACUCUUCAUCUUCUACCUUAAUACCCAUUUUCUCCCCGGGAACACUUAGUUUUCUCUUCAGUGCUAAACUCAUGACAAUUUUGCUCCCAUGCCACAAGCUUCUCAUGUCAAGCUAGAAAAUUUAUAUGUAAGCUGUUGUUAUUUUUGUUGGUGAAGGUAACCAAGGUGUUUCCUAAGGCAUCUUUGUCAUUUCGAAGUAUUCUUGGAGCUUGAGCCCAUGCGCGUAGCAGCUACUGGAAGAAAAAAGCCCCUACAAAACCUUAGAGCAACUUAAUUAGAAUAUUUGAGAAACUUAUGUAAAUGAAAGACUAGCAAGCAUGUAUUUUUACAUCUAAAAUAGUCAGCCCCGUGCGCACAGAGAGAGAGAGAGAGAGAGAGAGCACCAUAGUUUACAUGUUAAUGAUUAAUCCGCAUAAAAAGGGAGCAAUAUACCACAAUUGCUUUUAAAUAAGACGUUUUUUCUUUAUGUAAAUCACAAUUUACAGAAAUCUUUCAUUAUAAAUAUAAGAAAAAUUUAUGCAUACAUAUUAAAUUAUGAUCGGCAUCAAGUUUCUAGGAGGUGGGCAUUUUCUCCCUUUUCAUUUCAACUUGAGCAACAAAACAUCUCUAAUGGACCGACGGGUUCUAAAUGUCCAAGCCCAGCUGCUGGGAUUGAGCGAAGUCCACAGCUGGUUUCAGCCCAUGGAACCGAACCAAAGCGGGGCCUGAAAUUGAAAGAUCCACAAGAAAAAAAUAUAUAUUUAUUCAUAAAUAAAACGUCCUGCUUUGACUCUCUUGUAAUUUUCGGCUUCUCUGUUCUACUUCCCGCUGUGCUUCUGAUAAACCUCUAACUUCAUCAAUUCCGGAAAUGCCCCUACUGAAACCUCAUAUUCACAAGCCAUCUUGCUUCCCCUGUGCUCCCUCCGACACCCUGCUCGCAGAAAGAGCAAUCACAUAACUCAAACGCCAUCCCCACAACCUCACUUCUCUCUCUUCCUGUUUUACCUCUGAGGCAGCCUCCUAUUUACUCCUCAAGUCCCAAUUCGACCAGCCCCUAACCUGAAGUUCCUCAGCUGGGCUCGGAACCAUGGUUUCUUCACCUUCCAAUGCAAGUGACUCGCCCUCCACAUCCUCACUCCCUUCAAGCUCUACAAGAGCGCCCAACCCCUCGCCGAGGACGUUGCCGUCAACACCAUCGACGAUAGAGGUAAUUUGGUCUUUCAGUGCCUCAGUGACUCCCUGCACAUCUGCAAUUCGAGCUCGGCGGUUUUUGACUUGGUGGGGAAGUCUUACUCUCUCUUGAAUUUAAUUGAUGAGGCUCUGAAUAUUGUUAAUUUAGCCAAAGUUCAUGGAUUUAUACCUGGUGUACUGUCAUAUAAUGCAAUUUUAGAUGCAAUAAGUGGGUCAAAAGAGUCUGUUCAAUUUGCUGAGGAGGUGUUUUCUGAGAUGAUUAGCAAUGGGGUAUCCCCGAAUGUGCAUUACGUACAAUAUUUUGAUUAGGGGUUUUAGCGGGCGGGGAAUUUGAAAAUGGGGCUGUAGUUUUUUGGUGGAAUGGAAAGAAAUGGAUGUUUGCCGAAUGUGGUUACUUAUAAUACGUUGAUUGAUGCAUAUUGCAAAUUGAAUAGGAUUGAUCAGGCAUUUGAACUGUUGAGAUUGAUGGCGUUGAAGGGGUUGGAGCUGAAUUUGAUUUCGUAUAAUGUGGUGAUCAAUGGGUUGUGUCGAGAAGGGAGGAUGAAUGAGACAAGUCAGGUUCUCUAGGAGAUGAAAAGAAAAGGUUUUGUUCCUGAUGAGGUGACUUGUAAAUUGUAAUACAUUUAUUAGUGGGUAUUGCAAGGAAGGUAAUUUUCACCAAGCACUUGUUCUGCAAGAGGAGAUGCGGAGGAAUCGCUUGUCUCCCAAUGUUUUCAAUGUCAUUAAUGCUAUGUGAAAGGCUAAGAAUUUAAAUCGAGCAAUGGAGUUUUUCGAUCAGAUGCGUGUUAGAGGACUUCGUCCAAAUGAGAGAACGUAUACUACGUUGAUUGAUGGUUUCUCCCAACAGAGGUUCUUAAAUGAAGCUUAUGAUGGUCUGAAGAAAAUGAUUGGGAAUGGAUUAUCACCUUCGAUUGUGACUUACAAUGCACUUAUCAAUGGAUACUGCUUAUUGGGGAGGAUGGAAUACUAGAUAUGACAGGGAGAGGGUUGUCCCCUGAUGUACUAAGUUAUAGUACUAUUAUAACUGGGUUUUGUCGGCAUCAAGAAUUGGAGAGCGCAUUUCGAAUGAAGCUGGAGAUGAUGGAUAAGGGUGUAUCACCUGAUGCUGUUACCUAUUCAUCACUCAUUCAAGGUGUCUGUCAGCAAAGAAGACUAGGUGAAUCUUGUGAUCUAUUCCAAGAAAUGUUGAGUAUGGGUAUGCCUCCUGAUGAAUUUACAUACACAACAUUGAUCAAUGCUUACUGUGUGGAAGGGGAUUUAAAUAAGGCUCUUCAUUUGAAUGAUGAAAUGAUACAAAAAUAAUUCCUACCUGAUGUUGUUACCUACAGUGUGCUCAUUUAUGGACUUAACUAACAAGCUCGAACAAGCGAAGCAAAGAGGCUUCUGCUCAACUUGUUCUAUGAGGAGUCUGUCCCUGGUGAUAUCACAUAUAAUACGCUAAUAGAGAACUGCACUAAUGGUGAAUUUAAGAGUGUGGUUGCUCUAGUAAAGGGAUAAUGUAUGAAGGGUUUGAUGAAAGAAGCACACCUAGUUUUUGAGACAAUGGUUGAGAGGAAACACAAGCGUAACGAAGCAGUUUAUGAUGUUAUUAUUCAUGGUCAUUGUAAGGGUGGAAAUGUUAUCAAUCUGUACAAGGAAAUGUUGCAUUCUGGUUUUGUUCCGCAUACUGUGACGGUUAUUGGGCUGGUUAAAGCACUUUUCACAGAGGGGAUGAACAAUGAAUUGAGUCAAGUCAUAGGGAACACACUGAGAAACUGUCAGCUUUCUGAGGCUGAACGUGCAAAACUACUCGUUGACAUCAACCAUAAAGAAGGAAUAUGGAUGAAGUUUUUAAUGUGCUUAGUGAUAUGGCCAAGGACGGCCUCCUUCCAAAUAGUGGAGUAAGAGCUUCUGCAGGGGGAUAACUAAUGGCAAGCAUUCUCUUAUUAAAAGGAGCAAAAAAUGAAGGCAAAAGUUCAAGCUGAUUGCAAUCUUUUUGGUUGACAGAGUAACUGAUGAAGCCGAAGUGCAUAAUCACCUUGAUUGGGAUUAUUGUCCGAUAAAAUACUUCAGUGCUAUGGUGGCUUGUGCAGAUAAGCCUUGUUACUCCAUGCCCAUGUUUUCUUACAAUCCAGCGAACCUUUUUAUGAAGAUUCUUCAUUUAUCAUGCAGUUACUUUCUUACAAGUUCAGGUAAUGUGUGUGUGUGUAUGUAUAAGGUUUUUUUCAUCAUGGAAGAGAAAUGGAAAUACAUUGGCCGUACAGAUUGUUGUUUUUGUAUACUAUGUGUACUCAUGACUCAUUAUUGGACUUUUCAGUUUCAGUUAACAGAUAGUUGCAGUUUAAUCUAUUCUCUGCUACUGAGUCGUUCUUGAGAAGAUAAAAUAAGUUUCAUACCAUCUUUGUUUGCCGUUGUUUCUGGAAGUUGACAUCUUGUGUUGACUUAAAUGUAUCUUGAGAAGCUAAGGAUGUGGAUUUCAAGCUGCAUCUGAUGAGAUUUGUGCAGCUAUUGAGUUUGUUUUAUGAAUAAUGUUUGAAAGCAACAUCAUGCAUAGCAUUUGAUAUGGUACUAUCCCUCCCUGAAAAUCAGAUCGGCAGCUACAUAACAUGCCAGUUAUGUGAUCAAUCUUAAAAAUGCUAGAAUUUCCCAUAUACCAAUUUGAUUGAAUAGACCUCUGAAGUCUUAACCUAUUGACCAAACUAAGUCUACGAUUGACGCUGGAUUGGUUACCUUGCAGAACUUCCAGGAACCUCAAAUCCAUGGAAUUUUCCAUCAAUCCAGCACCAUACAGUCAUCUGCCCUCUGUAGCUGUGUUUCACGACCAAGUAUUAACAUUUACUUAGGAUCUAAGGCACCUCACUGAUGGAUAGUAGUUUACUUCUUGCUUAAGAAUAUUUUCCGUGGGCAUCAUAACUGCUAUGCUACUCAUAUUGUCUCUAACCAGCAUGGUCAUUUUGCUUCUUCUCUCAACUAAUAAUAGGUUUAUGAUCUCAAUCACAUUUACAAGCAAACCACUUUAACAUGGUAGAUGACAGAUAAAGAAUACUUGUAAUAUACUGACCUAUGCCAUAAGGUAGUUGACAGAGGAAGGUAAAUAUAAGGACAAUUGUAAAUGUAAUGACUCAUGAGAUUUGUUUGGUAAUAAACUUUGGGUAUGAAAGAGAAAAAGUGAGAUUAAAUCAACAUAAAACUAUUAUUCGUGGGAUUUCUGUUCACUUUCUUCAAUUUUCUCAGUAACCAAACAUACAAUUGUCCAUCAAUCCCAAAACUCAAUAACUCUAAUAAUUAACAAAUACAUACGAUUCAGGUUACUAUUUCUGCCCAUUUACAAAAUCUUCUUCUUCAUAGCCUAUUUAUUCGUAGUUGCUGCAUCGAUAAGGCUUUUAUUUUUUUAUUUAUUUUACACAGUAGUGGUCUCUCCUGCUUGACACUCAGGUUCGAAACCCUAAGGGGUUUCUUUCUCUCAAUGUAACUAAAAAAACAUUUAUCUAAAUCAUCUCGAUUGGGCUGUUUUUGGUGGCUUUCUAUCUUGAGAUCUAUUGGGUUGAGAACUUGAUUGAAAAAGUAUAGGCUAGGCCACGUGUGGAGGACUAGACUAGGUUAGCUUAGAAAUGACUAGAUUUCGUGUGAAAUCAAAGAAGAACAUAGAUAUUGUCUUCGCACUUGGAUGGAUGAAUUAUUCAUAAAAAUUGAUGUCUUAAAGUUAUCCCCACCCACUCAUCCUUCAACUUAAGAGACAACAUCCUUACUUUCUCUUGGAUGGAUAUUUGGCUGUAAUCCAAGCUAGCCUAGUCUAGCUAAUCCAAGGGCUGAUUUCCACUGUAGUGCUAAGUUUCAUUUUUUCGAUGUAAACUCUAACCCUCAAACUUGCUCUUGUCCCGAUAAUUUUAUUUUAGAGUUGCUUGACAUGAGAAUAAAAUAAAAAUAAGCCUUAGUUGCUAAGUUUCAUUUUUUCGAUGUAACUUGCUCUUGUCCCUAUAAUUCUAUUUUAGAGUUGCUUAGGAAUAAAAUAAAAUAAAAGCCUUAGUUAUACUGGAUAACUAAGUCUUAUUUUUAUGUAUUUAGCCUUUAAGCACUUUGGUGGGAUAAGAUUAGUUGCUCUACAAGUUUUUUCUUUAAAGGCUUUUGAGUAGUGGCAAAUCUAGGAUUCUAUGGACAAGGGGCCACAGUGUAAAAGUUCCGAAAUUUUUAUACGAAGAAAAUAAUACUAAAAAAAAAAAAGAUAGUACUUCUAUUCAUAAUUCAUAGCAAAAUUAAUAAUAUAAGUUACAAUUGUCCACGUCGAGUUUUUAUCUUUUGAAAACAUUACAUUAUAGUUUCGUUAUCAAUACAAGCAAAAACAUCCCUCUCAAUGUAAACAAUAUCUCAUCUACUUCAAUUGGUCUUGCACUUGAAUUACCCAGAUUAGACGGAGAAGGACUAUCCAUAGAUAAUUUUCUUCUAAAGAAUCGUUCCAUAAAUUCACACAUUAAUUAAUUCAAUUAAUCAUUAAGUUUUAUCCAAAUUAUCAUAUGAAUAUGAAAAUGUUAAUAACCCACUACCAAUGAUCAUUCAACCCUUCUUAUUUCCGUGUGCAUCCGACUCUGCUUUUGAGCGUAAUCUUGUACUUGUAAUUAUGGUCAAAAGAAUUUGUAUUUUUUUCUUGUUCAAAGAAUUUAUAGGUUAAUAAUAAAAUGCACGAAUGGGAAUAGUGUUCAAUACUUCAAUUAGACUUUGCUUCUUGUCACCAAGAAUAUGGUGAUGUGUGUGAGUAAAGGUUGUUCCUUUUUUAUUUAUUUAUGAAAAGUAAAGGUUGUUCUUUUUGUUAUACCCGAUUCAUUAGGGUAGAUGGCCAUGAAGACUCUAAUCUUUGGGAAAAUUUGUCAUCCCAAGAUGUUUUAAGGACGUUUCUCUCAGUGUACAGCUGUGUGUUUGGAUUGCUAGUUGUAAUCAAAGCCCUUUAAAUAUUUGGUGAGACUGGUUACUCUAGAAGUUUUUUUUUUUUUUUUAAAAAGUAAAUGCUUUUGAGCAUAGUUAGUAAAAUACAUAACAGAAAAAGUAUGAAUAAAAUACGUAUGUAAAAAUUCAAACGAAAAGUUUAGCCACUAUAUAAUUUAUUUAAAAUUUGUAAUAUGUAUUAUUUUUAUUCAAUAUUAUGUGAAUUUUAUAAUUUAUUUAAAAUUUGCAAUAUGUAUUAUUUUUAUUCAAUAUUAUGUGAAUUUUAUAUGUAUAUAUAAUAUGAAUAUUAUACUUGAAAAUGCUGACUAGGCUUUUCAGUAUAAUCUGAUCAUCAUUGCCAUUGGUUUCCCCUUGACACUACAAAGAUAUAUGGGCUAAUAAUUAAUGCACGAAGUGUUUAGAUUUUUGCGCAAAUAUUUGUUGGGUUGUUCUUGGUAAGUUGAAUAUCUUUGUCUCGAGCGCCGGCACGCAGAUACCCCCAUCCGAACCAAACGACGAGCGCCAUGUUUAACUUUAAGUUUUGACUGUUCCCAUGCAAAGUGAGAGCCAAUACAUCACAUGAAGGUCGCCAAGUGCAUGCUUUGGAAAGAAAAAGUUGGUAGGUACGUCCUAACAUGUGGGCUAAAUUUCACAACACAAAAAUUUAGCUCAUCCAUCUACCCAAAAUUAUAAAUUUAGCUCAUCCCCAUGCAAAGUGAGAACCAAUACAUCACAUGAAGGUCGCCAAGUGCGUGCUUUGGAAAGAAAAAGUUGGUAGGUGCGUCCUAACAUGUGGGCUAAAAUUUCAGAACACAAAAAUUUAGCUCAUCCAUCUACCCAAAAUUAUAAAUUUAGCUUGUUGGAAUAAAAAAAAUCACAAAAAUCACAAAAAUAUUGGAACGUGAGAUUGGAUAGGUGGGGGGGAAGUUUGGAAAAAGGUGGGGGUCUAAACCAAUGAAAACGUUUAAGAGAGUUUAGUGGCUCCUAUUUUUGGGGGAGCUGAUUAUUCAGUUUUCAAUAUAAAUAUUCUGCACUAAAAAGGAAAAAAGAAAAAAGGGAGGAGAGAGAACACGACAGAAGAAGAAAACUGUUGUAAGAGGAAAAUUACAGGAGCACAAAUACAAGAGGAGACAUUUUCACAGGUAUAUGGAUCCUGUCAAUUAAUUCUUGUUGGGUGGCAACCCUCAAAUCAUUUUUCUUGGAUGAUGAAUCCAUAUUGGGUGGCAACCCUCAAAUAAAACUCUUGGAUGAUAAAUCCAUAAUGGGUGGCAACCCUUAAAUCAUGAACAACAAAUCCAUGAGAGGAUUCCUGUUUAACAAAGCUCUGCCGAGCAAAAGGAAAUCCUUUGAAAUGGAAAUGGUGUUUGGAGGGUUAAUUCCAAAAAUGUACAGAAAAAAGAGAGCGUGAAUUACCUCUUGGGCUCUCUCACCACUCCUCUCCAUCUCUGCUUAAGAAGGCCUUUAUUUUUUUCUCUGAGCAAACUACAUCAAAAAAAAUGUAAAGGAUGUUAGUCAUGAAGAAAAGAAUAGGCAGAGAAAAAAAUGGAGAUCUGUAAAAAAAAGGGGAAAGAAAAUAGAGGCCAUGUUUUUCUGUCACAGCCUCUCUCCCUCUCUCUCUUAGAUGAUCUUCUUGUUGGGCACACAAUCACAACAGACAGAAAAAAAUUAAAACAGGAAAACAGCCACUGAAAAAAAAAAAAGGGAAAGAAAGUGGCUGAGCGCCAAUUCGUGGGUGUUGCUGGGUUAAAGGGAGAGAAUGGUGCCAGCCAAAAGAAAACAUGGGUAUAAAAAAAAAGAGAAGCAGAACUUGGGAAGGGCCACGUUGGAGCAGCCCAUGCUUUGAAUGCCCUAUCUUUUGGUUUCAUAACAAACAACUAAAAUAUCUGGAUGUAUGACAAUUAAAAAAGAAAGAAGGGAUUUGCUUCAGUCAUCAAAAAGAGGAAGAAAAGUCAAAACAUAAAAAAAAAAGAAAAAAAAAGAGAAGAGGGUGGCUGACGCCACUUUGUUGAAGUUGGAAGAAAAGCAAAACAAAGGGGACAAGGACCAUGUGUUGCAGAGGAAAAAAAGAGGAAAAAGACAAAAAAGUCUGAAACCUCUUUGAUGCGUUGCGGCAGUUUUUUCUUCUGGCUUUCUUUUUUUGUUUGCAAAGGCUGUGCACAGAUUGUGACUUCGUGUAUUUUCUUCAAAGACUGAACAGUAAAAAUGUUUGCUAUUAAUUCGGACUGAUCACAAGUAUUCCAGAUAAAGAUGAGACUACAAGGUUUGACUUUACUUGGAAACAAACUCUAUAAAGAGUUGGAUAACUAUUAGGUUGUUUUAAUCGCCUGAUGUACCAAAGUUUUUUUUUUGGGGCUCCAUGCUCAUGGGCUAACUAUCAACAAACAUCAAAAGCCCAAAAUAGGAUCAUGGGCUGUCAGAGAAUAAUUAUCCAUUGACUCUCAGAAGCCCAUAUAAUUAAUGGGUAACCCAAAUAAUUACCCAUUAAAUUUCCUAAGGCCCAAAUUUCCUAUCAUAUGGUUAAUGGAUUAGUUAAAAAAAAUCCUUGUAGCCAUAUUUGGGUCCAAGUGCAAAUGUCAACUUUAGAAAAUUAGUGGGUUAAUCAAAAUUGCUCAUUAAUUUUCUGGGACAUUGACAAAAAGAAAAAGUGGUACAAAACCAUCCAAAUUUUUCCCAUGGGUCAUCUACCCAUGAAAAUUCCAAUGAGAUUAAAUUCAAAUAUCUCAAACACAAAUUCUCAAUUAAUGGGCCACACUUACCCAUUAAUUUCAAAAUUUUCCCAUAGGUCACCUACCUAUGAAAAUCCCCAAAUUAUCUCAAAGAUACAAAUUCUAAAUUAUUGGGUCAUACAUACCCAUUAAUUUCCAAUUUUUCCCAUAGGUCAUCUACCUAUGAAAAUCUUCAAAUCGUCUCAAAGACACCAACUCUAAAUUAUUGUGCCACAUUUACCCAUUAGUUUCUAAAUUUUCGAACUACGUUGGUUUGAUCCCUUUAAAAGGGUACGUAGGCAAUCUAGAGAUUCAAUCUAGAUGCAACCAUCCCAAACAUAUUUCCAUAUUGAAUCCCUGGUUUAUUCAGCUAAAUUCACUCAAACACUCCUCAAUCAAACUCAUUCAAAUUCUUCGUUUUGCGAUGAGUCAUUUAUUCAUCAUGAAUCUUUGAACUACGUGUAACACCCCGACCCCAAAUUUCCCCAAAUUUUACCCUCAUUUAAUUAUUUAAUUAUUUAAGGGUAUUUUAGUCAUAUUUUUAACCGGAGAGAGUUUGGGACCGUGACUUAUAUUUUUAGAUAGGUCGUACUGAGACGAGUUCAUAGACACGUAGUGGGCUCGAAUCGGAGUUGUAACGAGAGAGAUAUGGUCAAAAGAAAUCCAGUGGCACAAUCGUAAAUAUUUCGAAAUGGGAUUUUUUUUAUAAAAAACCUGGUUUUCUCUCUCUCUCUCUCUCCCCCCCCGCGGGUCUCUCUCUCCUCUCCCUCGCGCGCGACAGCCGGCCACGUUUUGGCCGGCCGUGCUCUCCUCCGGCCACCAAUGGCGACGGGACCGGUACCAAAAUGACCGGGCCGUCGUCCUCUUCCUACCCCAGCCAUCCCCCGCCUCCAGCCGCCGUGGUUUCGCCGGAAUUUGGAGAAGAAGCGGCCGACGUCGCCGAAUUUUCAAAGCCGUCGAUCUCCCUCCUCCGGCCACCAAUUUCGUCGAUCCAGGUAUGGAUUUUGAACCUCUCAAGCUGCUCUAGCUGAUGGUUGGGUAGGAUUAGAUCGAUUCUUAGCGUAGAUCACUCGAUUUUCGAAUUGAAAAUCGGCCGAAACUUCGGCCGCCGUGAUCGGCCACUUCCGGCCAGUUUUUGGGGUAGGUCCAAGAACAAAAGUGACUCCAAAUGAGGUGUUUUACCUAGGAUAGGAGUUUGGAGUCUUGGUUCCGAGAUUUUUCGACGAACCAUAAUCGCUUUGGACACCCGAUCUGCCCGCGCGUGUGGCAGCGCGUGGGCGAGGGUGGUGGAGUGACUCUGGGCCGUUUUGAGAUCCUCGUGCCGUCACGAGCGCGUAGGAUUUCGCGGAUCUCAAUUCGGACGUCGUUUGACUAUCGAACGGAGAAUCGCAUAUCGCGCGUUAUCCGGGUUCGAUAGGUUGGGACCGUUGGAUGGACCCAAAUUUAAUAUAUGUUAAUCUAGGUAAUUUUAGGAUCGUGUAGGAAUUCACGGAUUGUGAAUCGGAGCCCCGGAUGUUCCGAUUUAAUAAUUUAAAGUUCAUAUUUUAUAUUAACCGUCGGAUCGUGCGAUCGUGAGAAAUCCGACCGUCCGAUCUGAACCAAACUUGCAGGACAAGUGUACUAUACCUGGUAGAACCCAUAGGGACUUCCGGAUCGGAAAUUGGAGGUCGUGGGUUCUGCAGGUCCGGUUGACCAGGGUUAGAAUAGUUUGACCCUCGGUUGACCGAGAGUCUCCCGGAGUAAUCUCACCCUUCCAGGGGGAAUUAUCGGGAGCUAGACUAUUGUGGAGGGUUACACAAUAUUAGAAUUAUUUAUAUAAAUUAUGUGGUUGUACAAGGGUACAACAAAGUCUAGAUUGUCAGUUUGGAGUGCUAUACGCACUACUUUAGGUACCUCCUCGGAUGUUGGAUCCACUACAAGUACCACCAAGUGAAAGUAGGUCCCGCGUGGCGUAGGUUAUCCGGCGUUGGGACAGACCCCAUACGUGGCGUUGGUUGUACCGGCGUAUGGGGAGCUAUGUAAUAUUAUGUUGAGGUCGCACGUGGCGUAGGUUAUCCGGCGUGUCGACAGACCCCAUACGUGGCGUUGGUUGUACCGGCGUAUGGGGAACUUUGUGAUAUAAUAUUGAGGUCCCACGUGGCGUAGGUUAUCCGGCGUUGGGACAGGCCUCAUACGUGGCGUUGGUUGUACCGGCGUAUGGGGAGUUAUGUGAUAUGAUGUGCAGGUCGCACGUGGCGUAGGUUAUCCGGCGUGUCGACAGACCCCAUACGUGGCGUUGGUUGUACCGGCGUAUGGGGAACUUUGUGAUAUAAUAUUGAGGUCCCACGUGGCGUAGGUUAUCCGGCGUUGGGACAGGCCUCAUACGUGGCGUUGGUUGUACCGGCGUAUGGGGAGUUAUGUGAUAUGAUGUGCAGGUCGCACGUGGCGUAGGUUAUCCGGCGUGUCGACAGACCCCAUACGUGGCGUUGGUUGUACCGGCGUAUGGGGAACUUUGUGAUAUAAUAUUGAGGUCCCACGUGGCGUAGGUUAUCCGGCGUUGGGACAGGCCUCAUACGUGGCGUUGGUUGUACCGGCGUAUGGGGAGUUAUGUGAUAUGAUGUGCAGGUCUCACGUGACGUAGGUUAUCCGGCGUUGAGACAGACCCCAUACGUGGCGUUGGUUGUACCGGCGUAUGGGGAGAUUAUAUGAAAUGAAAUAAGGUAUCGCCCAAGUGGGGAAUUGAGUUUUAGGGAAGAACUACGUGUGGCUUGAUCCCUCAAGGAGGGUACGUAGGCAGCCUAAGGUUAGGUGCAGCCGCAGACUAAAUGUUAGUCAUAUUUGGUAUUUGAAUGGUUUGGUAGUUGGAUAGGAAUUAUUGAAAGGCCGAAGGCCAUUUGUGUGAAUUGCAUGAAAUUAUAUUGUGCAUGCUGCCAGUUGGGAAUAUUAAAUGUGUUUUUAUGCAGGUUGAAAUUUUGGGAUAUGUCCAAUUUAUAGGGGAGACUCUGCCGAAAUUUCGGCAGGAAGUCUCAGUUUUUAGUAAGCGGGCCUGACAUCGGGGUGAUGUCAGGAAUUCCAAAGGGUUCGUCUCGGGUUUUUGAGAAAAUUCGGGGCGGGUCCUUAAACUACGAGUGGCUUGAUUCCCACAAGGGAUACGUAGGCAUCCUGAGGUUGGACUUGGGAGCAGCUGCAAAAUCAAACACACACGUUCUGUUUCUUUAUGAUGGAAUCAAAGGGUUUUCCCUUGAAGCAAGGGAUUGUAAUUAAGAGACUUACGUCUCGAAUGGGUCGAACCUAAAAUAAUAAAACCCCAUUAUUUAAUUAGUGGUGGUGAAAUUAUAUUAGGAAGAUCACAAUUUUCCUUCAACAUAGCUCAUCCCCACAUUUAAAUUAAAGCCCACUGUAUUUUCUUCAAUAAUUUGUUUAUCAUUGUUUUUAUUACUUUUAUGCGAUUCUUGUACUAACCAUAUUCUUCCAUAAUUUAUUUCUCAUUGUUCCAAUCGUUGAUAUUACAAUUUACAAUUAAUAAACUAAAGUACAUUUUUAAAAUGAAGUUUUCGAAAGAAGUACCAAAUUUGAAUCUUCCCCUUUUACUCAUCACAAGAAAAAAAAAUAUCCCUAAAAUGUUAGAAAUUAUAAGCCUUUAUAUUUUCUCUCAAAAUAGCAGCAAGUUAAAUUUAGAGGGGCAAACGUGCCUGAUAUAAGUAUUUUAACAACCCUCUAUAGGUAUGGCUACAUAAAACAAGGUAACGAGAUUAUCUUUGUUCUUUUACCAGAGGGGCAGACGUGCAUGAUAUGUAUGUAGUCUUUCAAGGAACAUUCUGGCUUUGAAGUUAUCUCCUAUUCUUAGCUAGGCAGCCCAAAUCUCUAGGCAUAUGCACAUCGCAUCAUGGGGAUCAUUGUAUUUUGCUUUAGCAAAUCUAGUUGUUUCACCCCAAAAAAAAAUAUCCAGUUGUUUCCAGGUUGAUUUCAAUUCAACGUUAAAGGUAAGAGGAAAAAAAAAAUUCUUGAAAAUAGUUGUAGGUUUUUUUAUUUUAUUUUUAUAAAUAUAAAACACCAAACUCAGUGAUAAAACUAAACUAAAAAUAAAAAGAAUAAAAUUUAAACACUCUGAAUGAGAUGAGAUUAGCAGGGCAUUUGAGAAGUGAACCACUCCAUGACAUGAAUUUGGGCUUUGACCAACUCCACGACCACCGUCACGCACAAACAGCACGGGCAUAUGCAAGUCAGCAACAAUCUGACGAUCCAGAUAACGAGGCCGACGAUGGAGAGGACGAGGGAGAGGAGAGCAAAAGGAAGGCCGAGCAGAAAGCCCAGAGGCCUGCAAUCACCUUCUGAAGAGCAAAUUUUCUCUCACUUUCUUUCUUCUUCUUAUUUUCUGGGAUUUUGGUUCUUCAGCAGCAACUGCUUGAGAGAGAAGAGAAUGGAGAGAGACUUGUUUAGUAAUGGGAGACGGCACACGCUGUGUAUUGUAUUGUUGGAAAUUUCUUGUGCUUUUCUGGAAAUAGUUAUAGUUACUUGGACUAGGGAUUCCAUUCCAUGACUUUGACUCUAUUAAGACAAUUUCAUUGUCUGGGAUAAAUAUUAUUCAUCACUUGAG
rnacentral:lncRNA from 1 species